rnacentral:rRNA from 1 species
GACAGAGGCCCCGAGCGUUAGUCGGAAUUACUGGGCUUAAAGGGUGCGUAGGCGGGCGUGUAAGUGCCUUGUGAAAGCCCUGGGCUCAACCCAGGAACCGCAGGGCAUACUGCACGUCUCGAGGUAGCUAGAGGCCGGUGGAACGAUCGGUGGAGCGGUGGAAUGCGUAGAUAUCGCUUGGAACGCCAACGGUGAAAACAGGUUGCUGGGGGUGUGCUGACGCUGAGACACGAAGCCAGGGAGCGAACGGG